AGCAGCCGCGGUAAUUCCAGCUCCAAUAGCGUAUAUUAAAGUUGUUGCAGUUAAAAAGCUCGUAGUUGAAUUUCGGGAUCAAUAUGUUGGUCGUGCCUCGGUACGUACUAGCAUAUUGGUUUCUCCUUUCUGAAGAACCAUGAUGUCAUUUAUUUGGUGUCGUGGGAAAUCAGGACUGUUACUUUGAAAAAAAUUAGAGUGUUUAAAGCAGGCUCACGCUUGAAUACAUUAGCAUGGAAUAAUGAAAUAGGACGUUUGAUUCUAUUUUGUUGGUUUCUAGGAUCGACGUAAUGAUUAAUAGGGAUAGUUGGGGGCAUUAGUAUUCAAUUGUCAGAGGUGAAAUUCUUGGAUUUAUUGAAGACUAACUACUGCGAAAGCAUUUGCCAAGGAUGUUUUCUAUUAAUCAAGAACGAAAGUUAGGGGAUCGAAGACGAUCAGAUACCGUCGUAGUCUUAAACCAUAAACUAUGCCGACUAGGGAUCGGAUAAUAGUUAAUUUUUUAAUGUACUCAUUCGGCGUC
rnacentral:rRNA from 1 species